UGCAGAAUCCCGUGAACCAUCGAGUCUUUGAACGCAAGUUGCGCCCGAAGCUUCGGUUGAGGGCACGUUUGCCUGGGUGUCA
rnacentral:rRNA from 2 species